rnacentral:rRNA from 1 species
AUUGAACGCUGGCGGAAUGCUUUACACAUGCAAGUCGAGCGGCAGCACGGGGGCAACCCUGGUGGCGAGCGGCGAACGGGUGAGUAAUACAUCGGAACAUGCCCAGUCGUGGGGGAUAACACUUCGAAAGAAGUGCUAAUACCGCAUACGUCCUGAGGGAGAAAGCGGGGGAUCUUCGGACCUCGCGCGAUUGGAGUGGCCGAUGUCAGAUUAGCUAGUUGGUGGGGUAAAGGCCUACCAAGGCAACGAUCUGUAGCUGGUCUGAGAGGAUGAUCAGCCACACUGGGACUGAGACACGGCCCAGACUCCUACGGGAGGCAGCAGUGGGGAAUUUUGGACAAUGGGCGAAAGCCUGAUCCAGCCAUGCCGCGUGUGUGAAGAAGGUCUUCGGAUUGUAAAGCACUUUAAGUUGGGAGGAAGGGUUGUAGAUUAAUACUCUGCAAUUUUGACGUUACCGACAGAAUAAGCACCGGCUAACUCUGUGCCAGCAGCCGCAGUAAUAC